rnacentral:rRNA from 1 species
GUCGGGAAAUCCACGCGCUUAACGUGUGGCGUCCGGCGAAAACUGUGCGGCUUGGGACCGGAAGAUCUGAGGGGGUACGUCUGGGGUAGGAGUGAAAUCCCGUAAUCCUGGACGGACCACCGAUGGCGAAAGCACCUCAGAAGGACGGAUCCGACAGUGAGGGACGAAAGCUAGGGUCUCGAACCGGAUUAGAUACCCGGGUAGUCCUAGCCGUAAACGAUGCUCGCUAGGUGUGGCACAGGCUACGAGCCUGUGCUGUGCCGUAGGGAAGCCGUGAAGCGAGCCGCCUGGGAAGUACGUCUGCAAGGAUGAAACUUAAAGGAAUUGGCGGGGGAGCACUACAACCGGAGGAGCCUGCGGUUUAAUUGGACUCAACGCCGGACAUCUCACCAGCUCCGACAGCAGUAAUGACGAUCAGGUUGAUGACCUUAUUCGAGCUGCUGAGAGGAGGUGCAUGGCCGCCGUCAGCUCGUACCGUGAGGCGUCCUGUUAAGUCAGGCAACGAGCGAGACCCGCACCUCUAGUUGCCAGCAGCAUCUCGCGAUGGCUGGGUACACUAGGGGGACUGCCGUCGCCAAGACGGAGGAAGGAACGGGCAACGGUAGGUCAGUAUGCCCCGAAUGAGCUGGGCUACACGCGGGCUACAAUGGCCAGGACAAUGGGAUGCGACACCGAGAGGUGGAGCUAAUCUCCUAAACCUGGUCGUAGUUCAGAUUGUGGGCUGAAAUUCGCCCACAUGAAGCUGGAUUCGGUUAGUCAUCGCGGUCACAAGCG